CGGGGAAUCUUCCGCAAUGGACGAAAGUCUGACGGAGCAACGCCGCGUGGGUGACGAAGGUUUUCGGAUCGUAAAACCCUGUCAAGAAGGAAGAAAAAAGACGGUACUUCUGAAGGAAGCCCCGGCUAACUACGUGCCAGCAGCCGCGGUAAUACGUAGGUGGCAAGCGUUGUCCGGAAUUAUUGGGCGUAAAGGGUACGUAGGCUGCAUCAUAAGUCGGGCGUGAAAGGCAGGGGCUCAACCCCUGGAGCGCGCUUGAUACUGUGAUGCUAGAGUCAUGGAGGGGGAACCGGAACUCUCGGUGUAGCAGUGAAAUGCGUAGAUAUCGAGAAGAACACUCGUGGCGAAGGCGGGUUCCUGGACAUGUACUGACGCUGAGGCUCGAAAGCUAGGGUAGCGAACG
rnacentral:rRNA from 1 species